rnacentral:rRNA from 1 species
GACGAACGCUGGCGGCGUGCUUAACACAUGCAAGUCGAACGGAUAGGCCCUGCUUUCGUGGGGUGCUCGAGUCGCGAACGGGUGAGUAACAUGGGAGUAACCUGCCCUUGACUUUGGGAUGACUUCAGGCAACUGGUGCUAAUACCUGAUAGGAGCUCCUGCUGCAUGGGGGGGGUUGGAAAGCUUCGGCGGAUGGGGAUGGACGCGCGGCUUAUCAGCUUGUUGGUGGGGUAGUGGCUUACCAAGGCUUUGACGGGUAGCCGGCCUGAGAGGGUGACCGGCCACAUUGGGACUGAGAUACGGCCCAGACUCCUACGGGAGGCAGCAGUGGGGAAUAUUGCACAAUGGGCGGAAGCCUGAUGCAGCAACGCCGCGUGCGGGAUGACGGCCUUCGGGUUGUAAACCGCUUUCGCCUGUGACGAAGCGUGAGUGACGGUAAUGGGUAAAGAAGCACCGGCUAACUACGUG